AUGGCCUGGACCCCGCUCCUCCUGGGCCUCCUGGCUCACUGCACAGGUUCUGUAGCUUCCUAUGAGCUGAAUCAGCCGCCCUCCGUCUCUGUGAGCCCGGGAGGGGAGGCCAAGAUGACCUGUAGGGAAAGCAACAUUGGAAGCAAAUAUGUUCAAUGGUACCAGCAGAAGCCAGGCCAGGCCCCUGUGCUGGUCAUCUACCAGAAUAAGUACCGGCCCUCCGGGAUCCCUGACCGCUUCUCUGGCUCCAACUCUGGGGGCACGGCCACCCUGACCAUUACGGGUGUGCGCACUGAAGACGAGGCCGACUAUUACUGUCAGUCAUAUGGACCCGUUCUUAGAUUAUUAGAUCCUGUUGCAGAAUGUGAAUGUGAUCAGAAUGGUGGGGAGACGAUAGGAGUCCGAGUGUGGGCUUCCUGGGACAUUGCACAAGUGUUCAACCUAGUUCAGAGCUUCUGA